rnacentral:rRNA from 1 species
GACGUAGGGCGCGAGCGUUGUCCGGAUUUAUUGGGCGUAAAGAGCUCGUAGGCGGCUUGUCGCGUCGAAUGUGAAAACUCGGGGCUCAACUCCGAGCUUGCAUUCGAUACGGGCAGGCUAGAGUUCGGUAGGGGAGACUGGAAUUCCUGGUGUAGCGGUGAAAUGCGUAGAUAUCAGGAGGAAUACCGAUGGCGAAGGCAGGUCUCUGGGCUGACACUGACGCUCAUGCACGAAAGCGUGGGGAGCAAACAGG